CAGCGCGAUCCUUUUUUGUUCGAUUCGUAUGAAUCGAGUGAUCCAUGAGUAUCAACAGGCGAGGUUUCCUUAUUGCGGUUAGCGUUUGAAAACGGCAUUCAGUUCGAGUCUGUUUCAUUGAACAGUAGUGAGUACGAGUCAAUCAGCAACGAGAGCCAGGGCCAGAGUCACAAUUGUAGGAAGAGACAAAGGCAGUGAGAUUCAGGGAAGACUAUUAUUUAGAUAUUUAGCGUGUAGAAUAACGUAUUAAUUUGCAUUUACAUUAGAAUAAAGCAUCCUAUCCUCUAACAAAGAUAUCUUCAAAUCGAAAGGAUUGGUAUGUAAAGAAACGUUUGAUAAACUAUUGCAGUAUCAAUUUGGGCAUAACCAAAAUGCUGAGACAAGCAAAUUCGAACAAGAAUAUUCUUGUCGAUAGAAAGAAUAUUCAUCUGCCUGAUGAUGCCACAGUGUGGCGAAACAUGUCUCAGACUAGUAAAAGUUUCAGUGAAACCCGUAAGGUUUAUCCUUUCUAUCGACGAUUACAAUGGAGUUUCAUCACUUUUCUACUUCUUAAGUCGUCGACUCGGGAAUUCGUCAGUCACAUUCGUAUAAAUACGAAUAUAUACGAAAAAAUGACAUGCUGGUUUAAUGAAAGUACAAAAUUAAUUAUUUUAAUUUGUGAUGCAGUUAUCGGCGUUGUACAUACCACAUUUGAAAAAUACAAUUAUUUUUCUAUAUAAAAUUACACGACAAAAAGAGAGGUACUUACUUACUCAUGUUUUUGUAUGUAAUAUUUUUUACACUUUGAAGAAGUACAUUAACACCAGUGUAAAAUUCAAAAAUUUGGAUACCCUGCAAGAACAAGAAAGGGCCGGGAUCAAAUUGAAAAUGCAGCUUAAAACUUCUUAAAAUGAAGAAAUUCUUAUAAAUCUAUUAACUGCCUUUUAGAUCUGCGAGUACUUAGGAAACCUUGAGCAUGAAUCUUUUUGCAUCCAGUAAGUAUUUUCACUAAGUAACAAACAAAUUGCUUACUCUAUUUUUUAUCAACUAUUUUUAUAUACUCUCGCUCCGCGUACUGGCUUGGUUUGGUGCCAAGCUCGGCACCAACAGGACAAGGAGUGGAAUAUGCAUACAUCUGCAUCAACUGGUGGUACUCCUAGUAUACAACGUUGCGAGAUGCAAAAACCAUAUGGCAGAACGCACGAAAAAACGCAAUCGUACAGUUGAGUUCGAAUUUAUAAUCUGCCAAAAACUCCUGCACCGCAGUGAUGGGAUGGAGACUGCCAAGAAAAUAAAUACUAACGAAUCCGAAAAUUACAGCUACUACUUGUAAACAAUGAUAAUUCAUAAAUCAAAAUUGUAAAAUCAUAUUUUAUUACAGAACGUGCAUUUGCUGAAAUAAAAUAUUUCUCUUUUUUAUGUUCGAAAUUAAA